ACGGAGGCAGCAGUGGGGAAUAUUGCACAAUGGGCACAAGCCUGAUGCAGCGAUGCCGCGUGAGGGAAGAAGGUUUUCGGAUUGUAAACCUCUGUCAUCGGGGACGAUAAUGACUGUACCCGAGAAGGAAGCUCCGGCUAACUACGUGCCAGCAGCCGCGGUAAUACGUAGGGAGCGAGCGUUAUCCGGAAUUACUGGGUGUAAAGGGAGUGUAGGCGGGACUGUAAGUCAGAUGUGAAAUAUACCGGCUCAACUGGUAGACUGCAUUUGAAACUGCGGUUCUUGAGUGAAGUAGAGGUAAGCGGAAUUCCUAGUGUAGCGGUGAAAUGCGUAGAUAUUAGGAGGAACAUCAGUGGCGAAGGCGGCUUACUGGGCUUUAACUGACGCUGAGGCUCGAAAGCGUGGGGAGCAAACAGGAUUAGAUACCCUGGUA
rnacentral:rRNA from 1 species